ACAACAUAAAAAGUUAGACCCUUCCAAAGGAUUCAACUGGUGGUAUAGCAAGGAAGCAUACCUGCUAACUUAUAAACACAAGUUGCAACCAGUGAAAGGUGAGAAGUUCUGGAAAGUGGACUCAUCUCAAGCAAUGGAACCACCUGAGUUAGUCAAGAUGGAUAGGCGACCUAAAAUUAAAAGAAAAAGAUGAGACUAUCAAAAGGCAAGGUGAGUAGGGUGUUUCCAGGAAAGGGAGAGUUAUGACAUGCAGUAACUAUGGAGAGCCUAAUCAUAAUGCUAGAGGUUGUGAGAAGGUUUGUGAGAAGGUAAUGGUUAUUUUUUCUAACUUAUUUGUAUCCUAUUUAGUAAUAUGUAACUUACUUUUUUAUGUUUACAUAAUAGCCACACAUGAAAAAGAUGACAAGAACAAGCAACACAAUAUUGGUUGAUGAAGAAGAAAUAGAACCCACUGCACUUGAAGAUAGUUAACCUACACAGUCUAAUCAACAAAGUCAAAGCUCAAACUUUGUGUUUAUGCCUGCACCAAGUAUUUACACUCAGUCCAACAUUAAAUUUUUGGACUUUGAGUCUCCAGAUCAUAUCGAGAUCCAGCUUUAAGGCCAACAAUUGUAUCAGAAGUAGGAACAAGACUUCAAACAAGGAAGAAUUAUCUCAACCUUCAAGAUUAAGGGCAAUAACAUUCACAGGCUGUCAUGAUGGUGUUAGUGUUCCAUCAAACCUGCAUUUCAAACCAAUAGGCCUCGGAUGGAAGAGAGCCUUUAGUGUUGUGUGGUGAUUUAGUCAUUGUAUUUUAUUUACAUGUCGCUAGUUAAUUGUCAUACCCCUUUUUCACCAACUUCAAUAAACCCUCUUAUAAAUAAUAAAAAAAAUUUGAAGCUCAAAAGAGUUUUUAAUUAAAAAGUGACAAAAUUAUGUUCAAAAGAAAAUAACUCACAGUCGUCACUUGACAUUGAUUUUAGUAUGCCAAGUCACCAUUUUUUAAAGUGUUUUUUCUUUUAUAACACUUUGGACUCCAAACUAAGUCUGCACCAGAGAUUCGAGUAAAAGAGUUCAUUUGACUCGGGAGAAGGUGUUAGGCAUUCCCCAAGUCCUGUAAAUAAUACAGUUGCAUACUUGAUCUAGUCGACUUUUAAAAUACUCAAAUUGAGAUAAAAACAAAAAUAAAAAAGAAAAACGAACACAGAAGAGGCUCGAGGUCGUUCCCGAAGAAAGUAAAAUUAAAAAUAAAAAUACUAGGCCUCCAAUACAAGUGCUUCGGGGCAUACACCAGAAAAAUUAUAUACAAAUCACUCGGGACAUUCCCCGAACAAAUUUAACUUAGGGAACGACCUCUCACCUCAAAAGAAACUAAAACACGAACAUCCUAAAUAUUUACCUACCCAAAUAUGAUCGACCUAAAUAUGCUUCUAACGGACAUUAAAAAAAGGUAGAUAAAACAAUAAUCAUGAUAAUCCUAAACAUUUGUUCAAUUUUGGACACUAGGCCCCGUAUCUGUUUGGCUUUUACCCAACCCAAGACCAUCUAUAUUUCCAAUUAAAUUUCUUUCAUAAAAGCCAUGCCAAUUCUCAAUUGCACGAUGCGUUCAAGACACUUACCAAACAGAAGCUAGUAAUCAAAUGAUAGCAAAUUCAUCUUUUUUUACUCUCAACCUAAUUGCCAACUUCACCUCACAAAUAGAUGAUAUAGUCCACACAACAUUUCAAAUCAAGCUAGUCACUAGGCCACUUUACACUAUUAAUGGGUUAAUGAACGGAUUUUAGUGUUGUUCUCGAAUGAAGUUAUAGAUCAAAAUGGAAGCUCAACAAUCAAACCAACUGAAGAGAAUAACAAACUAGAACAAACAAAUAGCAUUCAUGUCAUCAAAAAUCAAUCACAAGCACGCGCACAAGAUCUAAAGCGAGAACAAAGUGAGAAAUGAACCUCAAAAGGAUUUAUCAGAUUUCUUUUGACAAUUGAAAGUUGAAUAAGGCCAUUAAAUCUAGCAAAUCUCGGCACAAACAGGGAUGGAACAUUGUAGCCGGAAAUUACUCUGCAAACAUCGAAACUUGGACGAGUGACAGACUUAAACCAACUCAAACGAACUCCAACCACCCUCAAACUUGAUUGAAUUCUGUGGUUUUAAUAUCAGAAAUCAGAAUAUGAAAAAUCUCGUUCGUUCCCGUCCUCUGUUUUUGGUGUUGUGUGUGUGCGCGAGUGGUGAGGAGCGACUGGUUUUUUGGUGUAAAGGUGAAGAGUUUCAGAGAAAGGGGUCGCUGGUAGUGUGGACCGCGGUGGUGAGCGGCUGGUUGCUGAAGAUUGUUGUCGUACGUCCGGCGAGCUUAGUGGCGCGGGGGCGUGGCUGGUGAGGGGACGGCAGUGGAGUGUGUUCUAAGAUGUUGUGUUGGUUAAAGAUGAAGGUCAAGAGGGGGUGGCGAUAGCUGACUUUUGGUUGAUGAAGAAGGUGAGCCACUGGAGGUUUUUUUUAGGGUUACGUAGUCUAAUAUGUCUAGUUUCUUUGGAGGAGAUGAAGAUUUAGGAUUUUAUGGGUUUAGAUUUUAGGGUGUAACUU
rnacentral:lncRNA from 1 species